UAGAUUUCCUUUGUUUUGUACAGAAUAUGGCUGCCAUAUUUAGUUUAGAUGUCUCUUUUAAAAAGUGUUAUAGAAUUUGUCCUAAAUAUGCGGUAAUAUUAUAGCAAGUUAUUGCUAGAUUGGUGAAUAUAAACGGUAAAAUGUGUUAAAGUUAUUAGAAAGUUCUUUAAAAGCUUCGCAGUGUUGGUUUUGGUAAAAAAUGUUACUGUUUACAUCCUUCUUCGAAUACUUACAUUUCAUUUUAAGCAUUUUCAGGAAACUGUAGUGACCUGGAUACCACAAAUUCAAUUUCAAAGGGUGGUGGUGGGGAUGCCACUCAUUACACAUUAAAUCAGAUAAACGUUGAAGAGAAGAAAAAUGACUCAACUACUAGUGCUUCUGGAACGAUGAGUGUUUGUUUUGAAUCAUCGAAUGUACUCACCAAUGUGGUGAGUACAUCUUCAGAGACUUCAUUAGAAGAAAAUGUUCCAAUUACUAGUGUUAUGAGUCAACCCACAGUGGGUACAACCGUAGUGCAGCCAAUUGUAUCCAAUACAAUUCCAACAAGUAGUGAUAAAAGUGAGCAGCCCCCUCUUCCAACAAAGAGCAUCGCAAAGCUGGUUGUAGCUAAUGCAGCAGCUAGCACAAGUUCUGUUCUCCAGAAGGUUGUUAAUCCUCCAGUGAUAACAGUUUUGAAUCCAUCAGGACCUUUGACAGUGGUGAAGACUUUAUGUGUUACUUCUGGAGUAUCGAGUACCCCUCAGUUCACGUUAGUAAAUUCAGCACCUUUGAAUGUCACUAAUGCUGUUGGAAAACCACCUACUAUCACACUUCUUAACGCACCUGUGACGGUUGUUAAGGCAAUAACAACACCACAAAAUGUGGAGAAAAAUUUAUCAGAAGCAGCCACUACAGGGACCCCAAGCAAUACACCUGUCUCGACAAUUAUUGAAAAUAGAGCACACAAUGUUUUUGUUAAAAAUACAUGCCCAGAUUCAACUGUUGUGGAUAUUCCACAGAGCCAUAAAAUACUGACAACAAAUAAUUUUCCCCAAACAAAUAUGAUGACAAAUUCUCAGACGAAAACAUUAAAUGGACAAAGAAACAAAGUCAAAAUUGUAAGCAAUGUGGUAGUUCCGGGAACUUCACAAACAAACAGCAAUGUUUUGAUGAACAAAUCUAACCAACAGCGCUAUAUUCCAAGACAAACAGUUAUGGGUCCAAAUGGCGCAACUACAAAGUACCUAAACAAGCCUUCUGCAAGUAAUUUUGUAAAACCUAAUGUUAGUUCUUCAAUGAAGAUGGUACAUGAUAAAUCUCCAACUAGGAUGAACUAUCCUACCCAUAAGAAUCAAAUUAAAACACUUCCUCCUGUAAAUAAUUACUUACAGAAACCACAUCAACAUAGUAUAAAAACAAUAUCACCCCAAAAUAAAAAUAUUCCAGGUCAAGUUACCAGGACUGGAUCUGGUUUAAGAACUAUUCCUCCUCAGAAGUCACAUAAAUUAUCUAAUAAACCAAAUUACAUUGGCAAACAUGCAGUUCAAGCACAGAAAGGAAAACCACCACAUAAUAAAAUGAAAGGACUCAAAUUACCUACUAAUGCCCAUUAUAAUGUUAAUGUGCCACCAAUGCCCGACAAACACUUAAGUGAGCUAACAUUUAACCAGGCGUUGACUGCACAAAUAAUCGAGACUUUAAGCAAUUCUAGUAGCACUGUGCAAAAUAGUAGAUAUGAUAUGCCUUCAAGAUAUGAUAGUGCAUUUACUUGUCCAGAGAUGAAAAAACCACACAGUUCUUUUUUAAAGGAGAAUUUUAUUAAAAAUGUCUCUAAAAUGUGUAUGGUUCCAUUUACUAAUUCUCUGAUGCCUGCUUGUGACGAUGGUGCAGCAUCAAAUAUUUCAGAGGAAUUUGAGCAUAAUUAUGACACUGAAGAAGAAGAAACUGAUACAGCUUCUGAAGUGGAAGCUGUUGAUAAUAAUAAUUUUAAUGGUGAAACUUGCAAGUCUACAGAAGAUUCAAAUAAAUCUGGUCUGGAUGCAUUGUCUGUAAUGUGUCAAGCAGUAUUAUUAGAUCACAAUUAUCAUGCAACUUUACCACCAGAUUCACCAAUAAGACCAUCUCCUACAAUUACUGUUCCUCCACAAAUAAAUGGUAUAUCUCAACCUUCCAUAUAUUCACCAGGAUCAUCAAAACGGCGACCAAUGCCAAUGUCCAGCACAGUAACUUCUCCGCCUAUCUCAAAUGUAUCCAGCAUGUCAAUGAUUCCAGUUAGUAAUUCUAUGUUGCCUGUCCAUGAUGACGAUGCUGCAUCAGAUAUUUCAGAUGGAUCUGAUCGUAAACAUGACACUGAAGGAGAGGAAACUGAUACUGCCCCUGAAGCAGAAGCUGUCAAUAAUGAUAAUCUUGAUGGUUAUGGAGACUAUGUAACAAGGUGUAUUUGUAAUUAUAUCCAUGAUGAUGGUUACAUGGUAGAGUGUGAUAAAUGCAAGGUAUGGCAACAUGUACAAUGUGUUGUGAAAAACCGGCAGGUUCCAGAUGAAUACUUGUGUGAGGAAUGUGAUCCAACAAAGCCCAUAGAUAGACAGAAAGCUCGUGUCAUUCAGCAACAAUGGUUGAGGGAUAGACAACUUAUAGAUCCCAAAUUACGGAAGGAUCCAAAAAUAAAGGAGGCAUUUAAACCAAAGGAAACUGUUACUGAUACAGAUUCUUCUGAUGGAGAACAUGUACCUCCAAGUUUUCCUACUAAGAAUAGAGUGUUGGCAAACCGAAGAAAGCUCGAAAAUCAUGCUAAACAGGCUGCUAUUCGACAGCGACGAGAAGCAGCCAAAGAAGCAGCUCAGAAAAGACAGAAACGGAAAGAACGGAAAAUUGUGAGGAAAAAGACAAAAGUUCCAGUAAAACAUAGUGAUGAUGAAAAUCAGGACACUUGGGCGAUCCAUCUUCCUCAACUCAGACAAUGGAUAGAAAAAUAUGAGGAGGCUGUCACAAACCACUACUCUCCUGAGUUAAGAGCGAGAAUAUCAAGCAUUAGGGUGAACGGUGCUCAUUCUGAAUCAAAUGUUCAAUUCGACCCAACAUCCAACAAAAGUCGGGUUCAUACUCAACCUCUCACAGAAAUCAAAUACCUAGUGGCCACAGCACAUCUCCCUCCCAAUACGUUUGUUGUCGAAUUAAUGGGUAAAUAUAUGCUGUCAACGCAGCAUCGAAAUUCCGGCGGUUCUUUAACGACGCGACAGCAUUCUCAAAGACCAGGGCCGUUUUUGUUCUUUUAUCGACUGCACAAGGACAAUACAGAAGUAUGUGUCGAUACGAGGACAUACGGCAACACUACUCGAUUUAUCAGGCGUUCUUGUAAGCCGAAUGCAGAGUUAAGGCAUUGCAUCGAAAAGGGUGCUUUACAUAUUUACGUAGCGACCACGACGGCGGUUGACAAGAAUUUUGAGCUGACAAUCAAACACGAAUCUCAUGAUCUGGCAGCCGUAGGAACGACGAGUAUUGCCUGUGCUUGCGGGAACUCAGAAGAAUGUGGUGUAAAUAGGACGUCUGUAAAGAAAAAUGGAGAUGUUGUGGAGGUCCCCGUCCGGAAAAGGAGAGGUCGUCGAGUUACUUCUGCAAGUCUUCCAGAACCGGAUCCACCCAAACCAGUUAAGGAAGAACCCCCUCCAGUUAUAUCACCUCCUCCAGCACCACUGUCUCCAGUAAAACCCAAAAUCGAAAAGAUUAAAGAGGAGGAAAAAGUUGAGCAUAUUAUAAAGGAAGAAAUAAAAGAAGAGGUUCCUGAAGAUCCUAUUCCAGAAGUUGAGAAACCUGAACCUAUAAAAGAAGAAAUAAAAGAAGAGAUAAAAGAAGAAGAGGUCAUAAUAAAGGAAGAAGCACCCGAAGUAGAGAUUAAAAAGGAAGAAGAAGAAGUCGAAGAGCAACCAGAAGAACCUGAAAAUGAAAAAUCUCUGGAAGAAAUCAAGAGUCCUCCUCGUACACCCAUAUCUACCAGAAGGGCUUCCCAUAAAACUGACAAAGAAGAUGAUAAAUCUUCUUCCCCUAAGACAGAAAGAACCGAAAAAUCCAAGAAGUUAAGUAGAGAGGAACGAAAAUUGGAGGCGAUUUUAAGGGCCAUUGAUCAGAUGGAGAAGGCACAGUCUAGGAAACAAGAACACCAAGCCAAACAAGCCCAUAGGCGAGAAUCAGAACCGAAUCCUGAGAAAAAGGAAGAGGAAAAACAGGAACCUAGGCUAAAAAGACGAAGGCGUAAAGGUCGUGCCCGAACCGUUAGCCAGUCAGCAGCUAGAAGAAACCGCCUAAAUUCGACAGACUCAUACAUGACGUCAGGCGAUGAAAAUCUAUUAUCGCCAAAUGAAGGUCAACUGCCUAUCAAACCUUCAAAAGACAGUGAAGGAAGUGAUAGAGCUGUGGGACUUCUUCUUGCCCUUUCUAACGGCGAUAAUGACAGCAAAGAUCACAAGUCUCCUACAAGAGAUGUUGACUCCAAUUCAAAUUCGACACAUUCUUCUCCCGAAACACAACUUUCAUCAGCUUGUCUGCUGGUGCAAGCGGCUGUAGAGCCCUUAGAACAAGGAUUCAAAUUUCCGAAAACGAAAAAAGGAUUGAUGAAUGAAUGGUUGAAUAAAGUCCCUGAACCAGUUCAAACAGCCAGUGCAAUUUCUCCAAAUUCGCCUGUCUCACAAACCAAUAAUAUGGAUGUAGAUUCCUCUAGUGCAAUUUAUGGAGCGUCAAAGAACUUGAUGUCUUUUUGCGACGCAAACAUACAGCCACGAGGAAGCGCAAAGAAAAGGUGGCUGCGACAGGCUAUAAGAGAGGACCAUUCUUGUGACAGCGGAUCAGGCAGGCCAGACUCUCCGCCAAUCAGUGAUAUGGUAGCACCUCCGAAAAAGAGGAGAUUACCACGGGAAUCAUUAUCAACAGAUAACUCGCCUCCUAGCACACCUACAGGUCCAGUACCUCUUUUAAUCAAUAACCUGGAUAAAGAUGUCAAACCAACAGAGGGUGGUGUAGAAAUAGUUUAUAGUGGAACAGACGGAGACAGUUCAAAUCCUACCCUAGAAUCUGAAGCCAUUUUAAAGGAACGUGCAGCUGUGAUGAAGGAAGAAUUUAAUAAACCUGUAUUUAGCUCCAGUUUGGAUCUUCCAAGAACGGAAUUUGGAUCAUUAAAUUCACUUGAUCCCAGACUUUCCCGCGAAAGCCGUUUUCUGACAAAUACAGACUUAGUUGGUACAGUGGAGAAAACAUUGAGUAUACUGGGAUUUGAAAAUACAGAAAAACUCAAAACUGAACCGAUGUUACCAAAACGGAAGGUAAAGCUCUCCAUAACAGAAUAUCGACAGAGGAAAAAACUAACUGUUGAAGAAAAGGCAGCAGAACAAGAACAAGUUAGUACGGAAGAAAACAAUUCUUCAGAGUCAUUUAAAAUUACUCCGAGACAAAGAUCUGCUAGUGCGAGUAGUAGCACUUCAAUAACUUCUAGUGAUGAUGACCUUUCUGUGUCAGACAUCAUAGUUAAAAAAGCUCCUCUAUUUAACUCUGAACCAACUGAACUUGAACGCCAGAGGGAAACGUCUAGCCUAAGGUUGAAAAAGGUGUUUGGAUUAUCAGUUGAUCGAGAGCCACCUCCUGCUUUGAACAUUCAAGCCAUACUAAACAUGGAACUAGAGCCCAAGGUGAGAUCGGCCCAGCCUUUACCUGGUCAACAGAGCCAUGUCCCGGAAAAUACAGAACCUACAGUGAAGGAGUCUGAUUUACAGCCAUCUGGAUCUCCAGAACAAGCCUUGGUAAAAUCUCCGAAACCAGAAGCCAUGGAAACUGAAGACAUUUCUUCGUCCGAAAAUGAAAAUCAGAAUGUAGAAGAAAUGGUUGAUGUCAAGGAGGAAGAAACCAAGGAGGCUGCUCCUAUGAAUAUGUUCUAUACACCAGAUGAGGAAGAUACAACGGAGGUGGUAGAUAAGGAAGAACCUUCAGCUGUAUUUGAAGAACCAGAGAGUGUGAAUUAUGUUCCACCUUUUAAUAACCCAGUGUACCCGAAUAGUAAUUUUCCCACAUUUGCUUCAACAAUUGGGGAACAAUUAAAUUCACUCAAAUAGGGCUAGUUCAGACACGGCGGAAUUCGUGCGGAUCUUAUUUACAAUGGCAAAAUACUAGAAGAUCAUACCAGAACGCGCAGAUCAUGCACCUGUGAGGUAGCCGCCACUCAACCUCUGGAAAAUGAAUUCGCAGGGACACAGCUAUUAGUAUGAUCACAGAAUAAGAAACAAUCAGAAGAUGAUGAUGCCCGGUAUGAGGGACGGAAUCCGUCACCCCCACCAAACUUGGAUAAACUAGCCCAGUCGUGAAAGUUUCAAUAAACAAACAAAAAAUUGUAGAGUGCAAUUUUCAGAGUUAUUAAUUAUUUGUACAGAAUAUUGAGUAUAAGUAAGCACAGUGUACAUAAUAAGUUGUUUAAUUUUUUGGAGAUUUAUUUUUCGGUGCAUAUUGCACUAAAUAUUUUCUACGAAUGGAUUCUAAGUUAUUUUUAUGUUCCGGUGAUUGUAAAGUUAUUGUUGAUUUAGUUUUCUGCUCUCGAUUGUAAAGAUUUUGUGUGAAAUUCUGUAGAUAUAGCUAAAAGAGAGGUAUGUACACUUGUAUAUAAAUAUUUUUAUCAAGUAGAAAAAUUAGAAAAUCGUUGAUUUUUUGAUUGCAAACUAUCUUUGCAGCAUUGAUUUACAUCAAAGUGCUCAUAGAAAUCUCAUUAUAUUGUAAAUAUAUAUAUUAUAUAACAGAAGUUCAUUUUAUGGAUAUUUUAUUUGAUAAAAUAUAGUAAAUCAAUGACGCGAGAAUUUGUAAAAGUACAAAAUUAUUUAAGAGUUGAUCUCGUUUUUUAAAACUAAGAGUUUUUUUAUUAUUUUUAUAGAGUAAAACCGCCGAUUGGGUUGUUAGAUUAAUAGUGAUGUUAAUGUAGAUGUUCAUGAUAUAUGUAAGUUUCUUCUUAAAAGUUUUUAUAUUUGAUUAUAUUGUUGUGCUUUUUGUUUGGCGCCCACAUGAAGGGGGACCAAUUUUCUCGACUGACCUAUAGAUUGAUGAGCAUUUUUAUAGUUCGUUUUAUAUUGGUAAUACUGUUAUAAGGACAAGCAAUUUGAUUUAUAUAACCAUUACAUAUUAUCUUCUAUUUGAUUUGAAGUUUACAAAGUUUUCAUAAUUCAUAUAAAUUCUAUUUAUAUUUUAGAAGUAAAGAUAUCAAUCUAUGAGCAAUCUCCAUUACAAGUUAAAGCUGUUAACAUUUUAAUGCUUAAUAAAUCUCAUUUUUACAUACAAAUGACGAUCCCUUUGACCCACUCCUGGCUCGCUUUUAAUAAAUAAUUGGCCAAUAUUUCACAUCUGGGCCGGAUAGCUCAUGUGGUAGGAUGUCUGACUUCCGCGCAGAAGGCAGGGGAUCGAAUCACAGCUCCAAUGAGAACAUCUAGACAUUUUGUCUACAGGCCCCAGGUCGACUCAGCCGGAAUAAAAUUAGUACCUUGAGCCCCAAAAAUUAUUAAUACAAUAUUGUGGAAAGGAACAAUUAUAUCAAAUUGCAUAUUAACACAAGGGCCAAAAUAGCUCAGGCGGUAGGAUGUCUGACUUCCACGCAGAUAGACUGGGGUUCAAAUCCCAGCGCCAGUGAGAACAUCUAGACAUUUUUAAAAAUGUCUACAGGCCCCAGGUCGACUCAGCCUGAAUAAAAUUAGUACCUUGGGUAAAACCAGGGGUAAUAAUAGGCGGUUGAAGCGUAGCACUGGCCCUGUUACCUUUAUAUACCGUAGGCCCUAGAGAUAUCAGACUACCUUGCUAUAAUUCCAAAACCGCGCUAGCGUUAUAAGGGUUGACAAUUAUUAUAAAUAUUUCACAUUUAUUUUUCAAUGUAGUCUCCAUUACGUUUUUCCGACUAUAUUUUCGCAUUUCUCAAAAAAAAGGUUGUUCAACCCCUACAAACCUCUGAUUUACUGCAUAUAUAUGACAUCAUUAUGAAGAACGUGCAAGUGUUCUUUUCUUCUUACGGCUAUCCAUUUCGGAUGUUGGACACUGACAUAGCUAUUUUGACUUUGGUUACUGCUCUCCUGAAAAGUAGGAUAGUGGUAAAGUUAAACCAUUUUCGUAAGUUAUAAAGCCACUAUAUUCUUCUCCCUGGACCUCUUUUUCCACACACUUUGAAGUAUGUUCUGAAGUAGCAGACGCUUGUUCAUUAUGUAUGUUCAUUACGCUUUAUAUGGCAGGGUAUCCUCAACAUUCAUGCUUCAUUUAAGGUCCAUAGCUCCAGUUCAUAUACGGAGAAUAUUCAUUUUAGCAAACGAACUUAUAUUUCCAAUUUUAUAUCAUGUCUGUUAACAUUUUUUUUUUCAAUUUCGAUGAAAGCCGAUCUUACCUUUCCGAUCCUUAUCUUAAAUUCCGUCGUGUCUUCUCACAUUUUUUUUUACAUUUGUGUUAAAAAACUGUAUUCUUCUCCGUACUUCAUUGUUCAUAACUCUAUCUACCCAGGAAACCCUCAUAUUUCUUCUAUAGAUCCACAUUUCAAAGGCGUUGUCGUCUCAUUGUCUCUAGAUUUAACGUUCAUGAUUCCACUCCAUAGUAUAGUACACUGUAUACGUGGCAUUUUGUUAGUCGUACUUUAAGAGCUAAUGUUAAAUCUUUGCUACAUAGGACCUUUUUCAUUUUCAUAAAAUUAUAACAUGCUUUUUCGAUUCUGACUUUGAUUUCUGCAGUGUAGUCAUUAAUUUCGUGUUAUAAUUCUUCCUAGUUAAGUGUACUUUUUUACUCUUUCGGUCUGCUGGCCCUCUACGAUCAAGAUUUCGUUAGUAUUAAUGGUUGUCUUUACUAAUUUUCAUAAACUUUGUCUUUUUGAUAUUGAGAGAGAGAGAGAGUCAGUACUCCCUACUACACCUUACUAUUUUACUCAUGAGUCUUUCCAGGUCUUGGAAACUAUCGACUAUUAUUACUGUAUCAUCUGCAUAUCUGAUGUUGUUAACUAAGACUCCAUUUAUUACUCUUAUGCUGACUGUUUCAUCUUCCAGAGUUUCUCGAAUUAACUCUUCAGAAUAAGCGUUAAAUAAUAGAGGUGAUAGUAUGCUUGACUCAUCUCUUUAUUUCCAUAUCUUUUAAUUGGUCUUUUUAAUUAAUUCAUUUUCUUGGUAUUGUUCUGAAGGUGCUUUUUAUUGCAUCUUAAUGCAAUUUACUCUUUUAGUUGGGAAUAAGCCACAAUUUUACUUUAGAAUUAAGUUUAUUUGACAUUAAUAAAUUAAAUUUAAUUUAUUGUUGGGAAUAAGUCAUAUUAUAUAUAUGACUUAUUCCCAACAAUAAAUUAGAUUUUCGGAAAUCGUUCUCAACAUAGAAAACAUUAUUAAUAAAUUAAAAUUAAGUCACAAUUUUACGUUAAAAUUAAGUUCAUUUGACAUUUCGAUUUCCACUUCGGAAAUCGUUCUCAAUAUUAUACAAAACAUUAAUAAAUAUAAUUAACAAUUUAAUUUAUUUAUGUUUUAUAUAUUGAGAACGAUUUCCGAAGUCGUAAUCCAAAACCUAAAAUUGUGAUCCAUGUUUUAUUUUUUUUAAUUUACUUAAGUAUAUUUAUUCUAGAUCUAGAUAAUUCUGUGUUGAGCUAAUUAAAAUAAUUAAGCUAAUUAAGUACUUGUGGCAUAGCAAAUGCCAUCAUUAGAGCUUCGUCUUAUAGGUAUAAAACCUCCUAGAAGAGUAAAUAUUGUUGACAAACAACAUAUUAAAAUUAAAUUGAUAGAGGGCUAGGCCUCUGAUCUAGGAUGAAAACCUUACAAAUAUUAAAUAUCGCAUCGAUGUGCUUAGAAACAAUGUGGGUACCACAUUGUAAAAAUUGUAAACAAUGUACACAGGUACAUCACAUCGAUGUGAUAUUUAAUAUUGUUAAGGGUUUUCACCCUAGAUCAGAAGCCUAGCCCUGUAUCAAUUUAAUUUUACUAUGUUGUUUGUCAACAAUUACUCUUCUAUGAGGCUUUUAUACCUAUAAGACAAAGCUCUGAUGACGGAAUUUGCUAUGCCGAAAGUACUUAGCUGAUUUUAAUAAAUACUUUUUACACAUUAUCAGUUUUGAGAACAUACACCUGUUGCCGUUUUAAUUUAAUUAAGCUUAAGGUCAUAAAAGCACCAAGAGAUUCUCCAUCUGAUAAUUUAAUGAAAAUGAAUGAAAAAUAAUCAGUUGUUAACACGUUGACGGACAGAACGUCUAUAGACGUCUAAUUUUCAUUGACGUAAUGUGACACAACGUCUAUAGACGACAUUUUUAAACUAAUGAGUUGUGACAAAAAAUCAAUAGAUCUACAGAUGCAUAUGAACUGUGACACGGCGUCCAUGGUCGUCGUACACAUGUUUAAAAAAUAUUAAAAAACUCACCGUUUCUAUAAACUAUAAGCGCUAAAAGAAAUUCACUAAUUUCCUUAUUCUACAUUGCAAAACACAGUCACAACACUUGCUUUUGAAGCACUGUCCGUCAACGUGUUAAAGGAUUUACAUUUAUGAGUCUUAGGCAAUUGAAGACUUGUCCUUUAAGUCAUCGGUGCUGAUAUAUCAUACAUAUUUUGAACUAAUAUUGGACUCUAAAAAAUUCUAACUAUAAUUUUAUAUUUUUUUAUAUUUUUGAUAUUGGUUUUUCAAUUAAAAUGUCUAUUCGAUGAUUCAAAUAUUAGUUUAUAAUUUUAGAAAUUCUCACAAUCCAUUGGUCAGACCUUCUCCUUUCUUUGGUAUAAUUAGGAAAUGAACUCUGUGACUGUUCAGCAGAUACAUGGUAAAGACAACACAAAUUUUGGACAAAAAAUUUAUUUAUAUGUUGAGAUGUGUAUAUAAUAGUAAAAAAACACUCAACUACUUUUAAGAAAACGAAAUUAAAUGUGUCCUUGGGCUUCAACACUGAUCUCUGUUUACAAAACGUACUAUUUAUUAUCAGUUCCUUAUUUUUUAUUAUAUUGUAAGUAGUUAAAUAUAUCAACCAUUAUUUAUUAGUAGGUCGUUUGUAGAAUGUCUUAGAAAAAUACUUAUAACUAGUUUUCUGGCUAGUCCCUUGGAUGCCAACGCAAAUAUUAGUUUCAUAUGUGUUCAGUGCUCUCUGACAAAAUGGAAAACUAUAAAUUUUAUUCUCCAAUCUAUUCCAAUGAGCAGAUUAAAAAUCUUGACUCGAAAUAAAUUGUAACAUUUAACUUGACCAUGUAAGAUGGUCGAAAAUACUAGUAUGUAUAUUACUAUUACAGCUCUUUUGAAUCUAUGCAGUUAUUAUUUUAUAGAUAUCAAAUUUUAGCACAAUGCACGAAUAUAAUAUGUACAGAUGCGUAGUUACGAAGUCAGUAUCUAUGCUGUGAUCCAUGAAAUCUGUAUUCAGCUGCCCUUGUUACUCGUCUGAGCAAGUUCCAAUGAUUAUAGCUCUACCAGUUUUAUUCCUUUCAGAAAACUUAUGUGUGGAAUUUUAAUUGUGCCUUUAUAUCCCAUGAAGGAUAUUUCUCUCCAUUUGUGCAGUUUAUCCGUUUAUAUAUUUUUAAUUAUUUAUUAUACAUUACUCUUUUUUUAUUUUUGCUAUUAUUGAAUUCAUUCUGAGUUUAAUCAUUCUUUUCCAACUUCUGUUCUCAUUGUAUAUUUCAUUUUUUGUACUGUCACAGUUUCACCAUAAUGUUAAAGCACUGAGCUCCAAUCAUAGAAACUUGCCCCAAUGGACAAAAGUAUUAUAUAUAGCAAUCUAGCACUCAAAACCCUCGUUAUAGCCAGGGAGGUAGUGUCAAAUUUGACCGGAGCAUUUUAGCAUGGCUGUUUUUUUUAUUUAGUUAGGUAUUCCAAAGCUUAUUAACAAAUGAUGUGUCAGCUGGCCCAAAACCGGGGAUUUUAGACAAGAAAAGGUAAAAUAUGAAACUUGAUGGAAAAACGCUACAACUUAUGUCAAAUAUUUAUCUACGUGACUUACAACUCUUAAUAGCCUUGCUGACUUCUCUCCUAGCUUUCACUCAGGCAAUCCGGGUUCAAAUCCUGGCGUUGACUUUUUUUUUUUGUUUUUAAAAUUGACAUUUUAUUUUGAAAAAUAAUUAUUUUUAUAAUACCACGUUUGUAUUAUGUAUUUAUACGAGACAAUAUAAAAAAAAUCAUAUGUCUUUUAUAGAAUUAUGCAUAGAACUUAUGAAAUAGAACUAUGCAUUUGAUCAUAAAUAUUAUGAUUGACCUUAAUAAGCAAAGUUGUUGUAAAUGAACCCCUGAAGCUUCCUGAGUUAGUACAACCAAUCUAAGUGAAAAAGGGAGUUGCCCUCCCCACCCCCUCCCGACAUUUUUUUUAUUUUUUGGACAAACUGUUUUUUCUUAACCCGGGAGUCGUCGCGCUCACUUCUGUAACGUAGAUAUGAGAUUCUAUCUCAAAAUACAAAUUUAAAACAAAUUUUUAUUUUGUACUAUUUUUAUCUAUUUUUUAUAUUGAAAAUAUAUAUAUCGGUCACCUGUCCUAACGGCCAGUUUAAAAAUUUCCCAAACCAAUUAUAUGUAGACUACAAAAACUGGCAAUACCGUCCACCUUUCUAUAUCGGCCAAUAGUUCUUUUAUUUUUAGUGGCCGUUACUGACAAAUUUUACUGUAUGUAUUACGAAAAAGGAUGAAAUGUGAGAUUCUAUCUAACGGCGCGACUACUCGCGGGUUAAAGCUAAUUGGCUCUCCCCAAAGCCAUAAAUUCCACAAAAAGAAGAAGAAGAAGAAAAAUUCCUACGCAUUACUACACCCUUCCUCGAGGCACUUACGAAAUUUUUUCAAAAUUGCAAAAUUUUCCAUCAAGUUAUCGCGAAAAAGGAUAAAAAUUGAGUUUCUAUCUCACCGCGCGACUAUUCACGGGUUAAUGUAAUAUGAUGUAGAACCAAAAGAUACAUACAACCCUAAUUUUUCACUUUUCUAUCACCAACCCCCAUUUUUUAAUAGCAAUCUAAAUAUUCCCCUGUUCUCUAUAAUAGGUAUAUAAAAAUGGAUGUUUGUCUGUAUGAGGAGUGAGUUAAAUUAAUAUUAAAUAGCUUUGUCAUGAAAUAUAUCCAGUGGUUACAGCCAAUUCCUUCCAAACAGAAUAUAUCCAAUAGAAAAUAGCUAUCGAAAGUGUGCAAAUCAAUCAAAACACAAUAAAUCCAGUAUUCCGCUGAAUAACGCCCUUAUUAUAAUAAUAAUUAUUUUUCAAAAUAAAAUGUCAAUUUUAAAAACAAAAAAAAAUUUCAAUGCCAGCAUUUGAACCCGGAUUGCCUGAGUGAAAGCUAGGAGAGAAGUCAGAAAGGCUAUUAAGAAUAAUUGUAAGUCACGUAGAUAAAUAUUUGACAUAAGUUGUAGCGUUUUUCCAUCAAGUUUCAUAUUUUACCUUUUCUUGUCUAAAAUCCCCGGUUUUGGGCCAGCUGACACAUCAUUUGUUAAUAAGCCUUGGAAUACCUAAACUAAAUAAAAAGAAAGCAGCCAUGCUAAAAUGCUCCGGUCAAAUUUGACACUACCUCCCUGGCUAUUAGUACUACAGCAAACGCCAAUUACAGUAAAGUUUCGUCGCAUAGGUUUUAAUCCAUUCGCUGCCGAUCACGUGCCAGCGUGUAAUAUGGUUACUUCAGUCAGGUACCUUUCACCCGCCAGCGAGUGAUAUGGUUACUUGAGUCAGGUGCCGUUCAACAGAAUGGCUUCUAGCCGAGUUCCAUCCUCUGCGAUAGACAGCGAAUGGGUUAAGAGGACAUUUGUAACACUAACACCUCACAGGUGCACCACCGAGCUUUCGAUCUUUUCUGUGGUUCGAGGUGUCUGGUACUCGAUGCGAAAUACUCACCUUCCAUAAAUGACGUUUGCUGUACUUUAGUUAUCCAAACAUGUGGCUUAUCUUGUAACUAUAAUUUUUAAGUAAGAAUAUAAUAGGAGAGACAGAUAGUUUAGCUACAGCUCUAUCUGCCUCCUCUAAGAUGAAAACUUUUAAAAUAAAAAUAUUUGUUUUAAAAGUGUACUUCCAAUUGUGGAGUUAUUGGUAGCUUAGAGUAAGACAAACUGACGGAGAUAGUGUUGUAUUCCAUAUUUAUUAAGUUACUUUAGGGGAAAACAGGAAAUUUCAUCACUGAAAUAUUUCAUAACAAAAUUUUUUCCUACAUUGGCAAUGAUAAGCAUUAAUAUCCAACCAUUGUUGUUGACAUAUUUUAAUCAGUAAGAAAAUUGUACAAAUAUCUGAACAAACAAGUACUAGAUUCGAUUUUAAAGUUUUGUUUAGUUUUUAUAUUUUACCUGAACAACUUAACCCAGUGACAUAUAACGUAAUAAUUUAUUAUACAUAAUUUUAGGAUCUAUAGUAAUAUAUGAAGCAACAAGAGGUCAGGAGGCUUCUAUUAUGUCAUGACUUCUUGUUGCAUCAUAUAGAAGUCGCUACUAGCGUACUCCGGCAUGUAAUGGUACUAUAACGGUAAUAUAGAUAAGCAGCUUUCAUUCCAAUCCAAGCUUCCACAGGUCUUGGCGAGAGAUGAAACCUCGAUACACACUUUGGAGAAUGGUGGAGCUUGAGUUGAAAAGAAAUGCAAUCGUCUACUUUCUUUUUAUAGUAAUGUAGUUAAUUUCAUAUUAACAUUACACAAUAAAAGGAGAUAGUUCAUAGGUAGAAAUAGAACGUUCAUGCAGACAUAACAUAUUUGCAAGUUUUUGACAGUAACUAUUCUUGGUUAUACAAGGACAUCAACUGUUGAAUUAUUUUUCACUUAACAAUAAUUUUGUUUGAAUUUUUACCAAUUCUGUUAAAAUUGGAUUAAUAUUUACUGUUAUUGAAACCAGCACAAGAUCUUGAAUGAAUGCUAGGCAACAUUUUUUUAAGUAAUCUAUAAAAUUGUUUUGUGGUAUGUGUAUGAAGUGUCCAGGCAUAAAACCUGGUAACCAACAUUUUACUAAAUUGUCAAUUUUCUGCAAGAACAAAACUUCUGUAAAACUGAUGAUAUAUAGGGGUUUAGUGUAAACUAGUUUGGUAUAAUUUAGAAGCAUUUGAAUUGUGGUGCUAUCGACGAAUCCUAAAGAUAUCAUGGGUUUCGCACACUUCCAAUGAAGAUGUUCUCCAAAUGAUGAAUUCAGAACGUCUGCUCAUAAGGAAAAGUGGAGGGAAAGAGAUGGAUUGGCUGAAAGAAACUUUUAUGGUUGCGUAAUAUUAGUCAAUGAUGUGGUUCCACGGUAGAAUACUUAUUUAGCGCAGCAGCUGAUAAAGAAAGAUUUCAGUAACUUGUAAACAUGAUGACGGCCAACGUCUGACUGAAUACGGACACGGCCCCUUAAGAAGAAGUUUUAACAUAAAUAUCACUUCCCUGAUACCAGAUAGCGUAUUCCUAUCUGAUGCUGUAUGUUGUUGGUUGCUGAAAAUAAUAACGCAUAUUUGAUACAUGCUUGAAAGCAGAAUGAUUCGUUGAACUAAGAAAUUUUACGAGAAUGUUGGUUACAAGGUUUUGUUAUUUAAAAGGUUUUUACUCUUGGACAUUCAACAAAUACUUAUGUUUUUUUCUUAUAAGAAUAAGCAUAUGAAUUCUAACAACGAUUUUGCUUUGUCUAACGAUUGGCUUGCAUUCUUCCCAUGUGCCCUGCCCAGUGCCCAGUUCCAUUUUAACAUGGCGAUCUUUUGGCUUACAUCUGUUACUUUUGAUCGUCUUAUUAUUUCUUCAUUGAAUUCGCGAUCGCUGAGCUUAAUGUUAGCAUUCUCGGUUCCACUUUUACAUUUUUUUUUUCUGCGCUUUUAUACAAAAUUUAAAUGUAUAAAAUUAAACCAAAAGAAUUAUUCUUUGGGAAGUACAUACCAACAAUCUUCAGCAUUUCCUCAUGUUAUCGAAAACAAAGUGUCGUGCCGUGGUCAAUAUAAUUCGGUUAGGAGGGGGGGACUAUCUUAAAAGUUACACACGUUAGGCGAGAUUAUAACAGACGCCUUCCAGGAAAAAAUUUUAAGUACAAGUGAAAUCUUACUUUUAAAUACAUGAGGGAAGUAACAAAAAAAAUAUACAUAUACAAAUGCGCCAUUAUUGAUGUAAUCCGAGUAAAACGAUUAAGGCUAUGCUAGAUGGAAUAAUUUUAUUGCUAUGCACCAGUAUUUCAAAUAAUGCGUAUUUUUUGUUAAUAUGGUGUAUAGUUUUUAAAUACUCGGUUUUGUUAAUUUAGUUUUAGCUCUUUUUUUCGCUCUAAAAUUAGGAUUAAGUUUUUGUUUGUUAUUUUUAUUGUUAUUCCAAUGUUUUGAUAUUACGGUAGCCGUAAGGUGCAAGGUAUUAAUUAAUAACUCUAGUUGUAAAUCUAUAGUAGACUCUUUGGUCAAAAACCUUUUCUGCGCCUAAACAAACUAAUUGUAGAAAAUACUCAAAAACCCUCCCUAAUUAUGGAAUACCAAGAAGUGUAACUCUUCCUUGAUUCGUGUUUUGUGGUUAUGUUUCGCCCAUACCUGAUUUACUCUUCCAUUUGUUUUCAUCUGUGUCUUUGACCUUACGUCAUUUUAUCGUCUCAUUUAAGCUGGUAUGAUCUGCAGGAUUUUCGUCGUUUAAUUGUAUUUGGUUUACUCAAAAGAUUCUAUACUUUCAUUUUUGAUCAUACAUAUACAGUAUGUCCCUGUAAGUUGUAUCCAUAUAGAAAACUUUUUUAUUAUUAAUUUUACGAAAAAAAGUUAUUCUUCAUAAAAAACUCUGCAUGGUCCAAAACCUAAGAUUUAACCAUCAAAUAUCAAAUUUUUUGAAUAUUAUACGAGGUAUGUCAAAAAGUUUGAAUUUUACUCAAGAGUAAAGUAGCUUUAUUUUUCACAAUAUUAAAAAAUAAAAUUUUUGAAAAAUUAUGGAUAACAUUAUUUUCAGUUAUUUCAAUUCUGAUAACUCUUUUAUUAUUAAUUUUACGAAAAAAAGUGACUCUUAAUAAAAAGUUCUGGAUGGUCUAAAAUACAACCAUCUUAUAUCAAAUUUUAUCAAUUUUAUACGAGGUAUGUCAAAAAGAUAAAUUUAUAUCAAAAGUAAAGUACCUUUAUAGUUCAGAAUAUUUCAAUUAGAAGGAUGUAAUUACAUACUGAAACAUAGUUUUUAAUUCUAAAUAACUUUUCAUGAUAACAAUUUUCGAUAUUGUGAAAAAUAAACGUAUUUUACUCUUGAGCAAAAUGCAUAUUUUUGACAUACCUCGUAUAAAAUUGAUAAAAUUUGACAUAAGAUGGUUGUAUUUUAGGUUUUAGACCAUGCAGAACUUUUUAUAAAGAAUUGAUUUUUUGCGUAAAAUUAAUAAUAAAAAAGUUAUCUGAAUUGAAAUAACUGAAAAUGUUAGUUAACCAUAAUUUUUCAAAAAAAAAAUUUUAAUUAUAAGGAUGUAAUUGCAUACUAGAAUAUAGUUUUUAAUUCCAAACAACUUUUCAUAAUAGCAAUUUUCAGUAUUGUGAAAAAUAAAGCUCUUGAAUGAAAUUCAAACUUUUUUACAUACCUCGUAUAAUAUUCAAAAAAUUUGAUAUUUGAUAGUUAAAUCUUAAGUUUUGGACCAUGCAGAGCUUUUUAUGAAGAAUAACUUUUUUUCGUAAAAUUAAUAAUAAAAAGAAUGUGUGUGUACUAUGUACGCACGUAAGAAGAUAUUCUUCUAUUAUAUAGGUAAUUUAAACGAAGUAAAUGUACUUAACAGGUUAUUUGUAUUUUAUUUAAAAAUUAAACUAACUUUCUUAUCUACCACUUUCAAAAAAUUUUUAUUAAAACCAAAAAUUAAAAAAAAAUAUGAAUCGCCCAGGAUUCGAACCCGCGUCCUUCCAAUCUCUGAGCUAACGCCCUACCAACUACUCCAACGAGGUCCUUGUAAUUGACGUGUAAGUUUCGGAUAUAAUUGCACAACACGGCGACAAAUAGUGUAAAAAUGUUAUGCCUACAUAAUAUUUUAUUAUUUCACUACAGAGAAACACAAAUCCAAAAACAAGAAUUAUAAUAAAUAAUACAUUUACUAAAACACUAAUAUAUUCUUUUAAUGACUUAAUUUGCACGGUUACAGAUACAUACAUACCUAUCUUGAAAGAUUAGCAAUGAACUACAUGCUGUCUGUGUGCGCAGGCGCGCAGAUUUAUGUACAAUUUUACCCUCAAUCGAAUCGCCGCUAAAGAAGAAUAUCUUCAAAAAAGUUUUCCAUAUGGAUACAACUUACAGGGACACACUGUAUAACUGUUAAGAUUUAGAGUAUUGAGUCUUCCCUGUUCGAUUUCCUGCCCAAAUGAUCUUAGCGGUCUUGGCUAUGUGUUACCUCAGUACUCAGUAUACCAGUAUAUGGAUGGUGUAGUUCCUGAGUUUUGGUGUUUGAUUCUCCUACAGUUAUCUUGUUGGCUUAAUGAUUUUUUUCAUAAACUGUCUCGUUAUACCUUUACUUGGACAUGGAGCUGAUUUUGUAAAGUAGAGAUUUUUAAGUUCCUUAUCUUUUCUACCAGUUUUUCUGCAUUUCUUACCUUUAACAUAAAUUUUAUACUGACGAUAUUUAAAAGUUGUUUUAUUACCACAUAAAUACCAAUUUACAACUAUUGUUAUUAUUGACUAUAUCUCAUAAUAUACCCUUUUUACUACAAAAACAAGCUUACGUCAUUCAAGAUUUCUGACGUCAAAGCAUUGCUAAAAUAUUAAAAUAUGAUUUUCAUUAUGGCCAUAUUCUUGAACAGUGAGAAACUAGGCAUCAUUACUUGUCAAAGACAUUUUCCUUUGUUUUUGUUUAGUGUACAAAUAUCUAUAACUCUUUAUUCUGAUUAAUGAUGUCAAUUGCUUUUCAUUACUUGCCAAAAUAUACUGUUUUAACAAUAACCUUAUAGUGUAUAAUCAAUAAAAUAGAUAGUUUAAGAUUUUAAGACUAAAAAUGUACUGAAUAGUAUUUAAUAGGAAGUCAGUCAUUUUUAGCCUUAAAAUAUUAAAAUAAUCAUGAUUAUACACUAUGAUAAUAUUGUUGUUAAUUAAUAUAUUUCGGCAAGUAAUUUCGGAUUGACAUCAUUAAUUACAAUAAAGAAUUGUAGAUAUUUGUACAGUAAACAAAACAAAGAAAAAUAUGUCUGACAAGUAAUGAUGCCUAGGCACUGCACAAUAAACAUGGUCAUGAUAAAAAGUCAUUCCAAUGUUUUGGCAAUCCUCUGAGGUCUGACAGAAAUCUUGAAUGACGUAAACGUGUUUUUGUAGUAAAAAGGUAUGGAGAGAUGUACAUAAUUAUAUCAUACUAAUGAUAAUUUAAAGAUACUAAUAUACCACUUAUUAGGAUAUGUCGAUACGGAUAUUAAUGCUUAAAAUAGAAGGUACAACCCGCUGAAUCUGCUUUAUAGUUACAGAAUAAAUUUGAGUAGGAAUAUAUAUGUAAAGGUAAAAUGACUGCUAACACAUCACUUGUUUUUGAGGUCUCUAUGUAUAUAGUUGAAUCUUUAAACUGUAAAUAAAUAUAUUUAUAUAUUAUAUAUAGAUUUGUAAAUUUCGUACUACAAACUGUAAGGUAUGUUCAUAAAAAAAAUUUCGAUUAUUUAUUUAACGGUGUCUUCAGUGCAUGAACUAACGUACCUAUAGAUAUGCAAUGGAGGCCACCGGAAAUAUAUGAUUCGUAAAUUAUUUGUUGCCGUGUCGUUAUUGUACAAAAUUUUCGUAAUAAAAUUUCUAAAAUGGACAUAAAAAUAGUUUAUCUGUAUCAGUAUUAAAUAUCGACUUGAUGCGUUAACAAAUAGUUUGCGAACUUUCAAAAUUGUCAAUGAAACAUCAACGAGUUUAUUCAUAUAAAACUAUUUUAAUAUAUAACGUCGCUGUAUAUAAUAAACAUUUAAAUAAUUUGAUGUUGGUACGACCGUACAAUUAUUAAAUAAAUUCUCUAAAAAUAA
rnacentral:misc_RNA from 1 species